UUGUGGCGAGCUGUUGGGGAGUAACGACCCCACGGACCCGAGUGCUCCCGAGAGUCGGUCAGGGUCUCCGUCUCCGGCGUGUCUUCGUCGGUCGGAGUGGACCCCAAGGGGACCCGCAGGACUCUCAGCUCUGGCUUGCCUUCAUUGGCCGUCCAGAGAGGAGUCGCUAGAGCUAUAUGCUCCAGGGGUGGAAGUGAAAGAUGCAUAAGACGCGAGUUGGCACAGUGGCUGGUGACAGCCACUGGGUAGAAAGCGGCGCACACCUCUCGACACCCCUGAGCCGCUCACACCGAUGUUGCUACUGGUCGUCUUCCCGACGGCAGUUUCAGGGGCCAAUCUAGUCAGCGGCGAGUCACCGCCUGCCUCGAUGACGGUGUUAACAUUGUUAUGGCAGGUGUCCGGACCUCUUUACAAUAGCCCAGUUUCAUUGUCCACCCAAACAUCAAUCCAAAGACCGGUAUACUGUUCACUUUUUCUACAAUAGUCCCAAUGCCUGCUGCGACCGGUUCAUGGGUGUCUAUUGUUGCGCCUGUGAACGGGUUCCAGCAGGCGUUUACAUGACAUUAAAGCUCUCCAAAGGGCCUCUACGUGUUGGAUGUGUCCCCAGGCAAGCCUAUCAAAAGACCGGGAUUUAUAGGCCCGUGAAAUCCAAAACGGAGAAACACAUAAUUAUAGUUUUAAACUAACUUUUCUUUUGUAUUUAGAAUGUGUCUGUGCAUAUGUAUCUGCACAUACCGCUGGUGUUGCACCGCAUUAUGCGGUCCCAAUAGAAGCAGUGCCCCCGCAAUGCGGGGUUUCGACUCUUCCGACUUUAUUAAUUCAACAAAUAUUCGGCCCCCGCAUGUGCGAGACGCGGGCAGCGAAGUUAAUAAUAAGGAAUCUACACGAGAUCUUGCUCUUGGAGUCACAAAGGAAGUUUUAGAGUUAUGGAAAAAUAAAAAAGUGAAAAGUAAAGACACCAAAGAUUUCGAAGAAACUAGUUCAAAAAAGAAAGUAAACAAGUAAAGUUUUACAACUUCAA